ACGACUCUCGACAACGGAUAUCUCGGCUCUCGCAUCGAUGAAGAACGUAGCGAAAUGCGAUACUUGGUGUGAAUUGCAGAAUCCCGUGAACCAUCGAGUCUUUGAACGCAAGUUGCGCCCGAAGCCAUUAGGCUGAGGGCACGUCUGCUUGGGUGUCACGCAU
rnacentral:rRNA from 4 species